rnacentral:rRNA from 1 species
AAAUUGAAGAGUUUGAUCAUGGCUCAGAUUGAACGCUGGCGGCAGGCCUAACACAUGCAAGUCGAGCGGAAACGACACUAACAAUCCUUCGGGUGCGUUAAUGGGCGUCGAGCGGCGGACGGGUGAGUAAUGCCUAGGAAAUUGCCUUGAUGUGGGGGAUAACCAUUGGAAACGAUGGCUAAUACCGCAUGAUGCCUACGGGCCAAAGAGGGGGACCUUCGGGCCUCUCGCGUCAAGAUAUGCCUAGGUGGGAUUAGCUAGUUGGUGAGGUAAUGGCUCACCAAGGCGACGAUCCCUAGCUGGUCUGAGAGGAUGAUCAGCCACACUGGAACUGAGACACGGUCCAGACUCCUACGGGAGGCAGCAGUGGGGAAUAUUGCACAAUGGGCGAAAGCCUGAUGCAGCCAUGCCGCGUGUAUGAAGAAGGCCUUCGGGUUGUAAAGUACUUUCAGUUGUGAGGAAGGGUGUGCAGUUAAUAGCUGC